GUGCUCACUUCGGCAGCACAAACACUAAAACUAGAAUGAUGCUGAGCCUAGCACGGCCCCUGUGAAGGAUGGCGCCUAAAGUUGGGAAGCGUUCCACAUUUUU